rnacentral:rRNA from 1 species
UGCUGAAAGCAUCUAAGCACGAAACUUGCCCCGAGAUGAGUUCUCCCUGACUCCUUGAGAGUCCUGAAGGAACGUUGAAGACGACGACGUUGAUAGGCCGGGUGUGUAAGCGCAGCGAUGCGUUGAGCUAACCGGUACUAAUGAACCGUGAGGCUUAACCUU